AGCAUGGUACAAAAGAAAAUAA
rnacentral:snRNA from 1 species